CAGUCCUUCAUCAGGAUGAAGACUCUGCUGGUCCUCUCCGUUCUACUGUGUGCUGCAUUAGCAGCUCCAGCUGGAGACGAGCAGAAACCUUUAGAAACAGUAGUGGAGCUCCCUCAGGAAGACGCUGCUCUUGAAGCUG